rnacentral:rRNA from 1 species
UACGUAGGGUGCGAGCGUUGUCCGGAAUUAUUAGGGCGUGAAAGAGCUCGUAGGCGGUCUGUUCGCGACGGCUGUGAAAACCCGAGGCUCAACCUCGGGACCCUGCAGUCGAUACGGGCAAACUAGAGUACUGCAGGGAGACUGGAAGUUCCUAGGUGUAGCGGUGUAAAUGAGCGCAGACUAUCAGGAGGAACACCGAUGGCGAAGGCAGGUCUCUGGGCCACUACUGACGUGGAGAAGCGAAAGCAUGGGGAGCGAACAGG